rnacentral:ncRNA from 1 species
GAUGUUCUGGAGGCAAUGUUAGCAAGGUUGGGGGGGACAACUUCUUUAAGUGCAGAGCAGCCCUUGAACGUGAGAGGUUGCACUGCCAGAAAAUUACAGGGCAUGCACUUUUUACGCACAUGAAAAUUACAAUUCCGUCUUGUUAUGUGUUUCAUGGACUGGCUGACCAAGCCAAUGAUGCUUAGCUGGUCAUUUUGGAUGAUCAGCCACACUGGGGCUGAGAUGCGGCCCGGACUCCUAUGGGGGCAGCAGUGGGGAAUGUUCGACAACGGGCAAAAGCCCGAUCCAGCAAUAUC